UUCCUUCCAGUCGACGAGGUACAUGUACCUCGUCGACCGGAAGGGGUUUCUUCCGGCCGACGAGGUACAUGUACCUCGCCGGCUGGAAGGAUUUCCUUCCAGUCGACGAGGUACAUGUACCUCGUCGACUGGAAGGGG
rnacentral:miRNA from 1 species